rnacentral:rRNA from 1 species
GUGGGGAAUAUUGGACAAUGGGGGGAACCCUGAUCCAGCCAUGCCGCGUGUGUGAAGAAGGCCUUAUGGUUGUAAAGCACUUUAAGCGAGGAGGAGGGUACUGGUAUUAAUACUACCAGGUACUGGACGUUACUCGCAGAAUAAGCACCGGCUAACUCUGUGCCAGCAGCCGCGGUAAUACAGAGGGUGCGAGCGUUAAUCGGAUUUACUGGGCGUAAAGCGUGCGUAGGCGGCUAAUUGAGUCGGAUGUGAAAUCCCCGAGCUUAACUUGGGAAUUGCAUUCGAUACUGGUUAGCUAGAGUGUGGGAGAGGAUGGUAGAAUUCCAGGUGUAGCGGUGAAAUGCGUAGAGAUCUGGAGGAAUACCGAUGGCGAAGGCAGCCAUCUGGCCUAACACUGACGCUGAGGUACGAAAGCAUGGGGAGCAAACAGGAUUAGAAACCCUAGUAGUCC